rnacentral:rRNA from 1 species
AACGAACGCUGGCGGCAGGCCUAACACAUGCAAGUCGAACGCUCGUAGCAAUACGGGAGUGGCAGACGGGUGAGUAACGCGUGGGAAUCUACCCAAUGGUACGGAAUAACUCAGGGAAACUUGAGCUAAUACCGUAUGUGCCCGAAAGGGGAAAGAUUUAUCGCCAUUGGAUGAGCCCGCGUCGGAUUAGCUAGUUGGUGGGGUAACGGCCCACCAAGGCGACGAUCCGUAGCUGGUCUGAGAGGAUGAUCAGCCACACUGGGACUGAGACACGGCCCAGACUCCUACGGGAGGCAGCAGUGGGGAAUAUUGGACAAUGGGCGCAAGCCUGAUCCAGCCAUGCCGCGUGAGUGAUGAAGGCCCUAGGGUUGUAAAGCUCUUUCGGCGGGGACGAUAAUGACGGUACCCGCAGAAGAAGCCCCGGCUAACUUCGUGCCAGCAGCCGCAGUAA